rnacentral:rRNA from 1 species
GACGAACGCUGGCGGCGUGCUUAACACAUGCAAGUCGAACGGGCCCGCCCCUGUUUUUGGGGGUGGGUUGAGUGGCGAACGGGUGAGUAUCACGUGAGUAACCCGCCCCCUGCUCCUGGAUAACUGCUUGAAAGGGCGGCUAAUACGGGGUGUGCCGGCUGGUCCGCAUGGGCCUGGUCGGGAUAGUUUCAUCUUCGGGUGUUUCGGUGGGGGAUGGGCUCGCGGCCUAUCAGCUUGUUGGUGGGGUGAUGGCCCACCAAGGCGGUGACGGGUAGCCGGCCUGAGAGGGUGGGCGGCCACACUGGGACUGAGACACGGCCCAGACUCCUGCGGGAGGCAGCAGUGGGGGGUAUUGCACAAUGGGCGGAAGCCUGAUGCAGCGACGUCGCGUGAGGGAUGGAGGCCUUCGGGUUGUGAACCUCUUUCUCCGGUGGUGAAGGCCCUGUCCGUUGCGGCGGGGUUGACGGUAGCCGGGUAUGAAGCGCCGGCUAACUACGUG